rnacentral:rRNA from 1 species
GUAGUCAUAUGCUUGUCUCAAAGAUUAAGCCAUGCAUGUCUAAGUAUAAACAAAUCUAUACUGUGAAACUGCGAAUGGCUCAUUAAAUCAGUUAUAGUUUAUUUGAUAAUACCUUACUACUUGGAUAACCGUAGUAAUUCUAGAGCUAAUACAUGCUAAAAAACCCGACUCUCGGAAGGGUUGUAUUUAUUAGAUAAAAAACCAAUGCGGUCUCGGCCGGUUAUUUGGUGAUUCAUAAUAACUUUGCGAAUCGUAUGACUUUGCGUCGACGAUGAUUCAUUCAAAUUUCUGCCCUAUCAACUUUCGAUGGUAAGGUAUUGGCUUACCAUGGUUACAACGGGUAACGGGGAAUA